rnacentral:rRNA from 1 species
UCGCUACUACCGAUUGAAUGAUUUAGUGAGAUAUUUGGACUGGGUAUUGCAGGCGCUUCGGCAUUUGCUUUAUCCGGAAAGAAAAUCAAACUGAAUCCUUUAGAGGAAGUAA